rnacentral:tRNA from 1 species
AAGAAGGUGACAGAGUGGAAGUGUGUCUGGCUUGAAAUCAGAUUACGGGGGUUCGAUUCCCUCCUUUCUCG